rnacentral:misc_RNA from 1 species
CUUAAUUAAAUAUGGCGCUGUGGAAGUCGCGAGUGUUUCUACAGAGUUUACCGAAAGUUCUGUUUUGAGUAUUAUAUGCGCUCGUUGAUUUCAUAGACGUUGGAGCGGACUUGACUUUGAGGAAACUUGCGACAUGUAUGUUCCAACGAUGACGCUAGCACUAGGAAAAGUUCGAGCUGCCUUACUGCACCGUGUGCGAUUGCCUCGGCCACGGUGGCCCCGGCGGUCCCUUCAUAGUUUCCCGCCACCUUUUGAGUCUGUAUUUAAUAGGGCUGCCACUUAUCAAGAUCGUUUGGCACUAGUGGAUGUCGAAGGAACGUAUACGUAUUCGAACCUUUUGGCUAGUAGUACUUCUUUGCAGGCGCACAUUGACGACGUACUUAAGGGCUCCACGAAAGAGCGGAUAUCGUUUCUGUGUCCCAAUGCAGUAUCUUAUGUUAUUGCUCAGUGGGCUUGUUGGUUAGGUGGUAAUGUUGCCGUACCGCUGUACUGGAAUCUACCACGUUCAGUUCUAGAGUAUUACAUAAGAGAUUCUCAAAGCUCGCUCCUCGUGAGCACAAAAACAUAUGCUGACCAUUUGCAGCCCAUAGCAAGAGAGCUAGAUUUACCUUUGGUGGUACUCGACGAAGAGGUGAAAAAGGAAACGUACACAGCAUCGAAACAGAAAACCGAAGAGUGGAAGCGACUAAAACACAAGGAUGCCCAAAUACUGUACACAAGUGGCACUACAGGACCACCUAAGGGUGUCGUCACAACCCACAACAACCUGUUUGUCCAAGCUUCGGCAAUAAUCAGUGCAUGGGAAUUCAGCUCGUCGGAUGCUGUACUCCACACAUUACCUCUACAUCACACACAUGGCAUAGUGAAUGCUUUGGUGGCUCCCAUGUACGCUGGAAGCACGUGUGUUAUGCUGCCCAAGUUUGACGCUGCUGAUGUAUGGAACUAUCUCAUUGAACCUCCGACAAGAGGGCCUCGAAUCAAUGUUUAUAUGGCAGUGCCAACAAUCUAUGCAAAGCUCAUACAGCAUUAUGACAAAAUGUUUUCAAGCAGUACUCCCUUCUCCAGAAGCAAAGAAUUCAUCCGUGCAGCUUGCACACAAAAAAUCAGGUUGAUGGUGAGUGGGUCAGCAUCACUUCCGCUUCCUGUGUUAGAACGCUGGAAAGAAAUAACUGGCCAUACACUACUGGAACGUUACGGAAUGACAGAAAUUGGGAUGGCACUCACAAAUCCUCUUCACGGAACGCGAAAACCUGGAUUUGUAGGCAAGCCAUUUCCAGGUGUCAAAGUCUGUCUUGCAAAGCCAAAUGCCUAUGCCGCAACAGGUUAUGAUGUGAUCUUAACCGGUGACGAGUAUGGAACCAAAGUUGUCAAAGGAAGUGAAAAUGAAUCUGGUGACCUUCUUGUGAAAGGGCCAAACGUCUUCAAGGAAUACUGGAACAAGCCAAAGGCUACUAAAGAGGCCUUUACAAGUGAUGGCUGGUUCAAAACUGAUUAUCACACAUACUUCCAUGAUGCCUCACAAUACAGUGUAGAGCAGCUACUCUUCGAAACCUAUACUCUUCUCAACUUCCAUGAUCUCUAACUCGAGACACUGCUGAAUACAGAGAUGGAGCUUACAAGAUACUGGGUCGUACGUCAUCGGACAUUAUCAAAAGUGGAGGCUACAAGAUUAGUGCAUUGGAUGUAGAACGUCACCUUCUGGCACAUCCAGACAUCCAAGACUGUGUUGUGGUUGGCCUGCCAGACAUUACCUGGGGUGAGAAGGUGGCAUGCGCAGUCACUCUGCG